AAAGACUCAAUUUCUGGGUUUCCGUGUCCAACGUUUGACCGUCCGUCUUGUUCGAAAAAAUUAUGAAAAAAUUUAAAAAGAUAAGUCACACAUGAGGUAUUAAUCAUGUUUUAUCAUCUAACAACAACGAAAGUACUAAUUAUAAAAAAAAUUUCAUAUAAGACGAACAGUCAAACGUUGGACAAAAAAACUCAGGAAUUGAGUCUUU
rfam:Oryza glumipatula chromosome 12, whole genome shotgun sequence.